rnacentral:lncRNA from 1 species
GUCGCUGAAUCAUACAAUAGUUCCACUUUCAUUUUUGAGGAUGCCCACACCAACUUUCAUACCAGCUGCGGCCACUGGCAUUCCUGUCACCAGUGAAUAAAGAUCCCCUUUCCCAUAUCCUCACCAGCAUUUGUUGUCAUUUCCCGUCUCAAUGGCAGCAAGUCUGGGUGGGAUGGGACCUCAGAGAAGCUGCCAUUGGCAUUUCCCAGAAGGCUAAGGAUGUGGACCGCCUCCUCAAAUAUUCAUUGGCCAUUUGUAUUUCUUCCCUGAAAACCAACUGUCCACUGGCCUAAAAUAAUAUAAAUGACCUUUUCUGGGAAGGACAUCUCAUCUGAAACAAAUGACCUCUUAAAGGCAAGACCCACUGUAUGUUAAGUUCUCAGCCAAGGCUGAGACCAAAGGAAAACUGCUCAGCACCUGGUUUUGCUUGCUCAGGAGGAAGCUGUGGCUUCAAGGAAGAGCUCUGGUCACGUUCUUCACCCUUACAAAGCUCUAGAGGGGAAGCUGAUUGACUGUGCUCCAUCUCCGCUGAAUUCCAGAGCUAUCCAGUGUGUCUUCAUGAACUUAACCUCCAGCCCUGUCUGCCCUGUUUCCCACAACAGCACCUAGUUUUCACCAUCGAGGGAUGCUAGGACAGAAGCUCAAGCAGGAACCUGGAGGCAAGAACUGAAGCAGAGGCCACAGAGGAGUGCUGCUCACUGGCUUUCUCUCAUGGCUUGUUGUAACGAGGACUCCUUCUGCUGGCAUCCUCUUCUGGGAUCACAUGGCGUCCAUAGAGAAAAGAGCAGGAGGAAGAGCAAAAGGAAGAGAGCGAUUUCCUCUUUGUCUCUGCUUAUAUUCUGAGUCUGCGUGCUAUGUCACUUCCUGCCUGGAUCACAAGACUUCUUUUUACUACCUUUCCCAGAAUCUUCCUCAACUCCUAGUCCUUCCUAACUUGCUGCCUCAUUGGCCAAACAGUGCUUUAUUCAACAACCAAUAAAAUAAACAUACACAGAAGGACGUCCCCCAUCAGCUUGCUCAGCCUGCUUUCUUCAGGAAUCCAGGACCACCUGCCCAAGGUUAACCAAGAAAAUAUCCCACAGACCUACCUACAGGCCAAUGUGAUAGAGGCAAAUCCUCAACUAAGAUUCUCUUUUCCCAGAUGACAUAAGUACUUCAAGUUGAAAAAAAAAAAAAAACUAUCACAGGAAGUUAAGUAGAUGCAUGUCCCUGGACAUAAGAGCUUACAGACCACAUUGGCAAUCUGGCACAACAGACAGAUGCAUCCAGUAACAAAACUAAAACACAGAGUGCAGAAAUCAGUGGGACAACAAAAAGAAACAAACACCCAUUUUCACAGUGGGAGAGGCUCAGUUUCCUCCCUCAUUAACAAAUGGACAAAGCAAAUGAACCAGGGAAUGAAGACCACCCAACACACUGGGUGACUCUGAUUGUUCCCUGACCUGGGAAGGGCAUUACUGGCACAGUUAAUGGUCUCGAGGAUCUGUGAUUUAAUUCAUUCAUGCUAAUUUUGUGAUUCUGAGAGCUGAGCCUUGUAUAUAAAAGAAAAAACACACCACAGUAUCAAUGGUAAUGAGCCAUCAUAUGUGAAACCUAUUCUCACUCCAAACACUGCCAACCAAUUGAAGGCAACCAAUCAGGGUAAGCCAUCUUUUCUAUUCUCUACCCUCCAUUACCCUGCAGCUCUUGCCCACCUCCAUUUUCUUACUAUAAUGAUUGAAUUUCCUGAUUCCAAAUCAUACGGGGAUUGAAUGUGACUUUCCAAACAUUCAAGGUGGAUC